rnacentral:rRNA from 1 species
UGGCUUAAUUUGACUCAACGCGGGAAAUCUUACCGGGUCCGGACACACUGAGGAUUGACAGGUAACGUUAUACACACAUAUAUUUACUCUCGCGGGUAUUUAUGCUGCUGUGUAUAUAUAAAAUAUGCUAGUCCUUUCAUGAUUAUGUGAUAGGUGGUGCAUGGCCGUUCUUAGUUCGUGGAGUGAUCUGUCUGCUUAAUUGCGUUUCACUAAGGAUCUAUAUUCAUAUUACGCAUAGCAUUUUGACCCCUUUAUGCUUCGGUAUAAAGCUGCGCGUCAAACCUUGCUAUCUGCGUAUAUUAGAUCCUGAAAGCAACGAACGUGACCGCAACCUCUUGUUGCCUUUAACUAGGUUUUGCUUACGUAUAGCUUCGGCUUUACGCUUUGCAUCUAAAAAGGCUGAUUUUCUAAACUAGAGGGACCGCUGUUACUUUCUUAAACCAGAGGAAGGUUGCGGCAAUAACAGGUCU